AAUUGACUCGUACCAUAAGCGAGGAAUGAAAAAACUCUCUUGGUUUUCCAUAUGCAAAGGAAACUUUGGCUGCAUACUGUGGGGGGAGUAAUCUUGCCGUCGCCCAAAGCUUGUAUUGCCAUUUGGUUGCUCCCGCAUUUUGGAACAGGGGAGACUGCAACCCAGUUCAACCAGUUGGUUUCUUGGUGGAGCAAGGCUGUUGACUGCUUUUUGCAUAUAGGAGCUUGUUUUCAAGUUGAAAUGGUUAUAGAAAUUUGUUGGUACACUAUUACUCAAGUUUUUCUUACAGUUUCUAUAGAAAGUGAAUGAAGUGUAGCUUCCUCGAUGUAUAUGCCUCCAUUUUUUUUAGGUUUGAGGAAGUCGAAGAGUUUGAAAAAUGGGUGUUAAAAACUGGAAUUCACUGAUCUUUGUAGUUAGGGGUUGAAUAUACUUAAAGAAGAGCUAAGAUUUAAAUG